AUAUUUUUGUAUUUUUUACGUAUAUUAAUCUACGUUUUUGCCCAUUAGCCAUUGCCCGUUGGGUCGUGAGUAGCAUUUUAUUUUAAAAAAUAUAGAAUUCCUAUCAAAAAGUUUUCUUUUAUUUUUAUAUAAUUUCAUAUUUAAUAUACAUUUUAUUUUGUACAAAUAUUAUCGAGGAAUAAUAAACAAAUAAAAAAUUAUGACUUUUAAGAGUUUGAAACAAAAUACACACAAAGCGUCCCAUGACAUGCUCAUGGAAUGGCGUUCUUAUUUGGUGUUCCCACUUCCUUUUCUUGCCAACGGAUGCCAAGUUGUCCGGACAUUGAGUUUUCCAUUAACAUUUUAAUGGUUUUGGAUAUGGAGGGGUUGUAUUGAAAUUGAUUGAAAAAUGUGAGGACUAAUUCUUCAAAUUGAAACUAUAGCAAUCAAAGUGAGACUUUGCCUAAACUAUAGGGACCAACUAUUAAAUUUACCCGUAUUAUUUGACAUAACUAUGCAACUUGGGCUGUGAUGAUGCGAUGUCAACAAGUGAUUUUUUGGUGUAUUAAAGUUCUCGAUAAAGUUUAUAAUAUGAACGGUUUGAAUUGUUAAACUGGGUUUGAAAUUGCUUGGACUGCACCGAUGCAAUCCAAAAUGUACUGAAUAGAAGCCUGGGUCAUUUUUGAGAUAAUCUUGUAACUUGAAAUGUAUCGUAUUUUUUUUCACUUUGUUAAAUAAGAACUAGAAAAAUGAUUUUGAUGGCAUUAAAUUAUUUAAUCUGGCGAUAUCAAUUUCAACUAUUAAAAAUUGCUAGCAGGAGUUAUUCAACACGUCAUGUGUUGCGUCUUGUCUUUUACUUUUUUGUCAAAUCAACAAUUAAUUAAAGAAGAUGUAUUAGGUACAAAAUAACCUGGAAAAAAGGUUUUUGGAUGGGGCCAAACUGGUAAUUUUCAUAUUGGGUAAAUUUUACAAUUGAUUGUUGUAAUUUAGACAAAGCUUUACUUUGAUCUAUUUGUCCGUGUUUUCAAAAGAAAUGGACAUAUUUUUUAGAUCAUAUACUCCGUCCUUUUUUUCUGCAAUCAAGUACAAUAAGCAUUGAAAUUUGUUGUCUCUCUAAGAGUAAUGUUAAGAUGGGCGCGCGUCCGUGGUAUUACCACAAUUGUGCUUACAUAAUACGCUCACGUCCACCCAUUUGGGGUGAACCCCACUUUAAAAAAAUGGAGUCCACCCCCAAAUAAGUGGAUGUGAACAUGCCACCUAGGUACCCCCAAUUUACUUUGAGCUGGACGACUCCACUUGGUGUGAACACAUAACACGUGUCAAGAAAAAACUACAUGUGAGCCGUCAAUUUGCAUUGAGCUGGACGACCUCACUUGGUGUAAACACGAAUCAAGAAAAACACUACAUGUGAGCCGUCAAUUUGCUUUGAGUUGGAUGACUAUACUUGGUGUGAACACAUAGCACAUUAGCACGUGUCAAGAAAAAAUUACAUGUGAGUCGUCAAUUUGCAUUGAGCGAGACGACUCCACUUGGUGUGAACACAUAACACGAAUUAAGAAAAACACUAUAUGUUAGUCAUCAAUUUGCUUUGAAUUAGACGACUCCACUUGGUGUGAACACAUAGCACGCGUCAAAAAAAAACUACAUGUGAGACGUCAAUUUGAAUUGAGCUGGACGACUCCACUUGGUUAGAUAUUUUCCCUCCUUUGUGACAUAACAUUUAAUGGAAGACAGUCAGAAGUGACUGGGUGGGUGGAAAAUGAAUAGGGAAAAUUACUCUUAAGGCCUAUGGGAAAAUUUAAUGGGAGACAAAGGCGAAGGAAAGAGUAGGGUAGGUGGGAAAUGAAUAGGGAAAGUUACUCUAAGAACUAUGUGAAAAUCUCUUCACUUGUAUGUUGAGAGAAUAAUCAAAAAUAAUACCACCUCAAUGGAGAGGUGUUUAAAAUAAUUUCAUAAGCAUGAUAUUUUUAAUCAGUUUUUUACUAUUUUAUCCUUAAUUAAGCCUGCAUGAGUUGUUUUUUUUUACGUGUUUCAAUUACAAAUUAUAACUCACAUUUGCUUCAUUUGCAUAGAACACGCAAUUCACUUGCACCCAAGUACAUAAAAUUCUUUUGAUGCCAAAAUAAUAUCACAAGUGUAAGAUUUCGGCAUUGGGAUAACUCGAUAAUAAUAAGGGAAGUUCGAGUUUCGACUCAUGCAAUUGUGAGAUGGGAAUGGAGUCAAUGGGGUCUUUAGGGAGGGUGAGGAAGCAAUGUUGAGUGGUGGCAAUUAGGGGUUGGAUGCUGUGGUGGUGGCAGAUGAUGGAAAUUGAUGCCACCUGUGUAGUGGUGGAGUUUGUGAGAGAAGAGGAAAUGGAAAUUAAAAAAAAAAAAAAAGUGGGCGUAAUUAGAAUCUUAUGGAGUGUACUAAGAAAAAGCAAAAGCUUUGGCAAUUGAUAUCAAAAGAAUGGAUUUGGUGGACGAACAACACUGGAUUUGAGCAGCUUCAAUCUU
rnacentral:lncRNA from 1 species